CAGCAGCAGGCCCGGCCUCUGGUACCAGCCAAGUUCAGAAUCCAGAGUGAGUCCAGCAGCCACCGUGGAGAUCUGCUGGAUUUCAGGACAAUAGAGGAAUGAAG